AUGUAUUGAUGUGUUAUCCACAUAACAAUGCAAAUAUGUUGUGGUUACAGACAGCGAGCGCAGAUCAGGUGGAACUACACCUGCUGACGUCACAUUGGCUAUUUAAGUAGUCAGGUACACAUUUUCAGGUGCAAGAGACCAGUCUUACUCAGAGCUCCAAGGUGGUAGUAGUAGUAGUAGUAGUAUCUGGACAUACACUUUUCACUGCUUCAGAAAGCUUCAGAAGACACUGCUUGAAGCCUCAACAUGAAGUUCACCAUGACCAUGCUGGUGACCUUGCUGGCUUUGCUGCUGUCCAGUCUGGUGAGGAGCGCUCUGUGUUCAAACUCUUCAAGCCAAUGCUGUACUGCCAGUCAAAGGUGCACACCGUGGCACCCGCACAACGGAACGUCACUGAAGCUACCGAAGGUUCUCGUCCAAACUGCUGAUCUUGGGAAAAUCGCACAGGCCCGCUGGAAUUACACAAUGGACAGUAACGAAGACAGGACACCACAACACAUCCAGAAUGCUACCUGCUUGCGUUGUGUGGACGAGGGGCUGAAGGCAGUGCCGAUUCAGUAUGAGAUUGAUUUAAUUCACAGAAUAAAAUGUGGAGUUAAAAAGAUUACUUGUAAGUGUCCUUGCAGGGUUAAUGUAGGCUGCACCUGUGUGAGAGAAUAACUCUGUGUGAAAGAGAAGAACUGGCGAAGUAUUUCUGCUAGGUAUCUUGCUGCUUCCUGAGUAGAGUGUAUAGGCCUAUGUAUUGUUUGCAUCCCAAAUGAUUCCCUAUUCCCUAUAUAGUGCACUGCAGAAACAAAUAUAUAUAUAUUUUAGGGUUUUACCAGCAUUUGUAACUUGAGUCUGAUAAUUAUCUGUACAAAACAGUUAAUGUGAUAAUACUUGUGGAAUAUUUUGUUGUUGUUGUUGAAACGCUUGAUAUAUGUUUUCCAGUUUCUUGAAAUAAUUUGCAAAGGCGACUUAUUUCUAUGUGAAAAACUGAACUAUUCAUUCCUUUUCCAUUAUAAUAGAUGUUCCCAUCCAGAGGAACUUAUAGUAGUGAGUGCAUAUAUUUUCAUGCUCGUUCCCUUUGGGAAUCAAACCCACAACCCUAGCAUUGCAAGCGCCAUGCUAUACCAAUUGAACCACAUCCUCACAUGACAUCAUCACAAACCACUUGAUGUCUCAAUUUACUCAAUUACUGUAUUGGUCAUUGUUUAUCUCUAUGGUGAUAGAAAGUCUACAGGUACAAAUGUAGAUGACAAGCCUAUGUACAAUAUAGCAAUGUACAUUUACAUUAAAUGGUUUGUAAGGAUGGUAAAUUAAUACUGCUCAAAAAGUGGUUGUUUUCCAUGUUAUUUGAUCAAGAAAAAUAUUUAAUUUGAUGUGGAUAUGUUGUGUCUUUGCACCUUUUGAUGUGAAAUGUUUGAGGACAGAGUUUUGAUCUUUCUGGAUUCCAUUAGAAUGACAUCACAGAGAAAGGGCCAGGGGCAAAAACUCUUACAAUUACAACUAUUGAAUCCUGGAAGAUUCUGUUCUUAAUUAUACAACUACCUUUUUUGCCAAAGCUGAGAAGCUGAACAAAUGUGUCCAUGCUACAGACAUCUAUAUCUGUCUGCUAAUACUAGUAAAAGGCCAAAUGCACUACUUUUGUGAAGAAAAAAAAAUAAAAAUGAUUGAAGUGGAUUUAACAAGUGACAUCAAUAAGGGAUCAUAGCUUUCACCUAGAUUCACCUGUUCAGGCUAUGUGUGGAGGUCAAUUAAGGCAGCCCCCCCCCCCCCCCUCCCCCUCUCUGAUUCAGAGGGGUUGGGUUUGAAUACGGAAGACACGUUUCAGUUAAUUGCAUUCCGUUGCACACCUGACUAGGUAUAUCCCCUUUACCUUGUCAUGGAAAGAACAGGUGUUCCAAUUUUCUUUUCACACUCAUUGUAUAGUAAUCUGAAUUUACUCUACCUCCUUCUUUUGACUUGUGAUAUGUGGUUACUUUACCUACCGUAGUUAAAUGCACUGACUGUAAGUCGCUCUGGACAGGGGCAGCUGCUAAAUUACCUAAUGUAAUGUAGUGUACUGUAAUGUAAAUCUAAAAUAACCUCAUUUCUUUUUAGCACUGAAUGGAGCAAAGGGCCUAAACAUUUCCAGUGAACACUGCUCUGGUUUUUUUAAUAGCCUAGACUCCUCUAGAGGGGUUGAAAAACUAUUGAUUUAAAAGAAAAACAGGGUUUUGUGUAUUGUGCUAUACAUGUUUAUCUCUUGUAGAGAGUUUCUUAUAUUAUGCUUUCGAUUGGUAUUGUUCUUAAAUGUUAGCUAUGUAAUUUGACUUGUGUGAUAUAAUUAUCAAAUACCUAUUCCAUGUCUUUGUUUAUUAAUAAUUUCCAUUGUUUCAUUUCUUAAGGAAAUAUCAGCUUCUUGUGUAUUUGAUUUUAUUCAUGCAUUUUGUCCAAUUGAAUGUCUAAUAAUGUAUUGUGUUUGUCAACAACUGAAUGGUUAUCUUGUUUAAUAAAAUAUUAUUGAUCUACC
rnacentral:lncRNA from 1 species